ACUCUGCCGUGUUACAAACGGCUGGUCCGAAAUAUAUUAGCUGAUCCUAGUGAGACUUGGUUCUACUUGGCGUGAUAAUUAUCUACGUCGAGGACAUCGCAAGAUGGCCAAAGCUUGUCAUGGAUUGCUUCUAAUCGUCUUCAUCGACAACUUAUCAUCAAUCUGACCUCGAAUCAGGCGGGACUACCCGCUGAACUUAA
rnacentral:misc_RNA from 1 species